rnacentral:lncRNA from 7 species
GAGGCCUAAGGUAAAAUCAUUCAACCAUUGCACACAACACUGUGUUGGCACACAACACUCGCUCUCCAAAAACAAUUUUUAUAACACAAUAUGGAAAUCAUUGACUUGGUUAAUAUAAUUACUUUUUUUGAAACAUUUUCUAAGUCAAAAUUAUUCUUUUACAGUACACCACAACACUGUGUUGCUUACUGGGAUGCAUAGAAGACGAGGUUGAAGAAUUUUUUUGUUUAGCUUACUGAACCUGCUCCUGAAGUUGUUUGUCAGCUGAUGUCUCAAAUUGGUAGCAAGAUCCUGGACAAAUAUAUUGUGAAUUUGAUACAACUAUGCCAUGCUUACAUUUUAUCUUGAAAUGUUACUGUUUAUGGUUUCUUGUCAGCCGUGUGACAAACUUAAAUGAAAUAGCCCAUCACUUCCUGCACUGCAUUCAGAUGCAUAUGGAGCUGAUCAUUCAAGUGAACUGCAUUCAGAUGAAUAAGGAGGCACUUUUACGUACCAAUCUCAGAUAGGAAGGCACUUCAUUGUUCACUCAUCCUAGAGGUCAUUUACCGAAAGAAACAAAUGUGUUUGCUGAAUUUGUUCUUAUCUUGUACACAUUAUGUUUUUGACAAACUGAAUUUGGCAUGUUUCAAGGAAACUGUGUUCUCG